GGAGGAGGAGGGGGCGGGAAGGCGCCGCCCCUCAGCGCCCGGCGCUCCGUCAGGGGGCGGCUGCGGGCGGAGGGGGACCUCUGGCGGGCGGCCCCGCUCCUCCUGCCGGCCUCCUGCUGCCUGCCCCGGGGGGGAGAGUGCUCCAGGGCAAGCCGUGAGGCGAGGCGGCGGUGGUGGUGAUGAUGAUGGCUGGCUGCUGCCACAGCGGGAUAAAGCGGCUGUGGGGGCGAUGGGCACAUUUGCGCUCCUCUGAGGGUUGAAUUUGGGGAUGCGCGCACACAGCAGCUGAUGUAGAGCCCAUCCGUCACUUUUGGGUUCGGCGUGAUGUAUUGCUGAAGUAACUUACCCAGAAAAUAACCGCUCAAGUCCCCCAGCAGAGCCCUUUCCAAAGGCAGCAGUAGGAACUUACAGCUCAGGAGCUCACAGCUCGCUGAGGUGAUCCCGUGUACAGGGUGAGGAAGUCACGGCGAUUCCACAGCGUUUGUGUCUGACACGGCCGAAUGGCAAAGCCUGGCAGAGAUGAGCAAGCCAAGCACAUCCAUGAAGGAAGCGAGAGCCGCAGGGCUGAGGGUGCUGCCUGCCCAGGGAACCGCGCUGAGGAAAGGACGGCUCCUGGGAGCACAGGGGCGAGAGGCUGAGGGAAGACAGAGCGGAGAUCCCCACAGCGUUAAAGCAUUAAGAGCACCCAAACAUCAGCUGGCGUUUACCCGUUGGUUCCUGACUGCAGUGUGUAGCAAGUGGGCCACCACUUAAUGAAGAGUUAGCUCUCUCAGGCCUGUUCUACGCUCAGCAAGAAAGUCGAGGUUAAAUCUUCACCCAUACGCUUGCUCAUUCUUUGCCUACAGGAACAGAGCGUGUGUGGGGGGGUGAAAGCACAAGGAGAGGCUGAUUAGGACCAUUAAGGCCAAUUAAUGCAAUCAGGGCCCUGAUGCUGGCAUCUCGUCUUGCCUGUUUGCAUCGCUGAGUCACAAGCUCUCCACCUCCAGGACGCUGCCUGCUAAUCCCCCCCACCUCUGGGUGCUGCGAGGAACGAUGUGGAAGUGCUACAUGGGAAUUUAGGGUGCCUCCGAAGGGCACCUAUGUGUUCAAGGAGUAGCCAGAAGUGUGCGUCCCAGGGGCCAUCACACUCCGCCAUGUAGCUCUGCACAUGCUUCCUGAGUGUCACCACAGGUAUAUCUGCAGUGCCUGCAAACAAGCACAUCCCGUGAGCCCACGUUCAGUGGUUGAAGACAAACUUAGACUUCAUUGGACCCGGAGGAAUUAGAGAUUUUACUGAGCAAACAAGUCACUGGCCGCUCAAGGAGAUUUGCCAGAGGGACUGUGCGGCAGAUACACGGUCAAGGUAGAAACGGAGUAAAACUGAGAAGGAACAAAGGUGGGAGCAGAUGGGCCUUCAUCUGGCUGAGCGCAGCUGCUGCUACAUUCUUAUUUGCUGACUGAUCUGCGGAAUCUUUUCUAAGGACUGUCUGCUUCACCUUAACAGAAAUGACCUGAACAGGGCAGAAUGCUUUGUGUUUACACUGAAAUUCAACCUCCUCAAGGUGCAGAAUGCCUCUAAUUCAGUAAGUCAUAACAACCUGUAGAUGUUACACCUCUUUAUCCCCAGUAUAGCCCCAAUAAUUUGGUGCUAUAGUACCACAUCUCAUAGAACUGUCUCAUGUACAAAUUUAUUUAUUUAUUUAUAAACUAAUGUGCACCCUUGGUGUGGUUGCAAGCAGUGUAAUGGAGAGAUGAAUUUGGAAUACAGAUCUACUUGCAUCUCUGCUGCAUUAUCGCUGGCGUAACCAAGGACUCUGGGUCAAUGCCAAAACAAAAUCAUGAAACUGAUUGUUUUUCAGCCUUACAUUAUUAAUUGUUUCUGCAUUUCUGUUGUUCUUCAUAUCCAAAACAAAUAUUAGGAGACAAAUAAACCUUAAUUUUGAUUCUGGUUUUACAGUA